rnacentral:rRNA from 1 species
UUCCGGAUAACGCACAUAUGCUGGAAUGCUUUAUGCGUAAAAUGGAUUCGUCUGCCCAAGGAUGGGUCUGCGGCCUAUCAGGUAGUAGUGGGUGUAAUGUACCUACUAGCCUACGACGGGUACGGGUUGUGAGAGCAAGAGCCCGGAGAUGGAUUCUGAGACAUGAAUCCAGGCCCUACGGGGCGCAGCAGGCGCGAAAACUUUACAAUGCGGGAAACCGUGAUAAGGGGACACCGAGUGCCAGCAUCCUAUGCUGGCUGUCCGGGUGUGUAAAAUACACCUGUUAGCAAGGGCCGGGCAAGACCGGUGCCAGCCGCCGCGGUAACACCGGCGGCCCGAGUGGUGAUCGUGAUUAUUGGGUCUAAAGGGUCCGUAGCCGGUUUGGUCAGUCCUCCGGGAAAUCUGACAACUUAACUGUUAGGCUUUCGGAGGAUACUGCCAGACUUGGAACCGGGAGAGGA